UACGGGGGGGAGCAAGCGUUGUUCGGAUUUACUGGGCGUACAGGGAGCGUAGGCGGUUGGAUAAGCCCUCCGUGAAAUCUCCAGGCUUAACCUGGAAAGUGCAGAGGGGACUGUUCAGCUAGAGGAUGGGAGAGGAGCGCGGAAUUCCCGGUGUAGCAGUGAAAUGCGUAGAUAUGUGGAGGAAUACCGAUGGCGAAGGCCAGCCCCCUGGGAUAACACUGACGCUCAUGCACGAAAGCGUGGGGAGCAAACAGG
rnacentral:rRNA from 1 species